rnacentral:SRP_RNA from 1 species
GCCAAGCUGCUCAUCGAGCAGCAAGCAGGCUACCUGCAGUAGGCCUGCAGUAGGCGGCCGCCGAGCGGAGGGAACGCCCUAGGCUGGUACAGAGAGACCCAGUGAGCAGUGAGCACAGA